rnacentral:lncRNA from 1 species
CUGACUGAUCCAGCCGAAGCUGAGGUUGCCCUUCAGAAUGAAGUCAAGCUCAUCCAGGGUGCCCAAGGAGGGGAUGUCACAGCGGAGGUGCAGGCAGUCGGCGAUGGCGCAGUCCUGGGGGCAGGAGGGGGAUAAAGCUGAGGAGGAGGAGGGCCUUUACUUAGAAAGAGACAAAAAGAUGAAACAAAGGCUGGCAUUGAGUAGAGAAUAUACAAUCGCAGGCUGACUACACAGUCAGAGUCAUCAGUGCAUUCCGUGCGUGUCCCCAGCACACGGGCUUUUCUCACCAGCACAGAGCGUCCUUGGAUCUGGGUCAGAAGGUCGGAAUGUUGAGGAGGUUCCCUCUGUGACACACAGGAGACACCCUAGGAGUGGGGGAGGUGAUCAGAGCAUGGCAUCCUUAUAGAGAGGGAUUCUGGAGAGAGAACUGCUACGGGCUGUGUACCUGUGCUGGGCUCCUCAGAGUCACAUCCCACACGGCCACACCAUUCAGAAGGAUGGGGACCCAGAAGUUAACGCUGAUGGCCAGCGUCAAUGGACUCAGGUUAUUCACCUGCAGGAGUGGAGACCAGAGAUAACAAUGUGGUUAUCCAGAG